AAAAAUUUAUAAUUUUUUAAAGUUUUAAUUUGAUUAAGUUACGAAACUUUUUCUCUCAAGAUAGAAAGUGUUUCUAACUGAGUGGCUUGUUUUUCGUUCAAGAAAAAAUAUCACUGGUAAGAAGAAGAAGCAGAUGCCUCUCGUCGCUCAAGAAGGACAAAGUACAGCUUCAUUUUUGUUUUGAAUUUGGGAUGAGUUUCACCUAUUCUCUCGCGGUUUUGGAUGAGAACUACUUCAACCUCUGAUUCUGGCGAUAAUGUGUGUUGUAGUGCGGAGGAGGUUGCAAUACGCAUCAUUGGGGCCAAUGAGAAAGAGAGUCGUUCAUCGCGACAUCGUUGAGGUGCCACAGUGGGGAUCCAAGCUGUGAGGAGGCACACAAUAGUAUGCAUUUGUGUGCCAUCGGAGCGUAUCCUUGUUCUUGUUGCGACCAAUAGGCCGUUUGACCUGGAUGAAGCAAUAAUGAGGAGAUUUGAAAGGAGAAUAAUGGUGGGGGUGCCAAGCGCGGAGAACAGCGAAAAAUUUUUUAGGACUCUUUUGCGAAAAGAAAAGGUGGACAAGAAAUUUGAUUUUAAGGAACUCGCAACUAUGACAGAAGGAUACAACGGAAGUAAUCUCAAGAACUUGUGUACAACUGCUGCUUACAGACCUGUUAGAGAGUUAAUUCAGCAAGAGAGAAUAAAAAUGAUGGAGAAAAGGCAGAAAGGUGUUGAAGAGCAGAAUAACAAUGCAGGAAAUACCUAAGAUGGUAUGGAAGCAAAAGAGGAAGUUAAGCAGGAAAAAGUAAUUUCCCUUAGACCUCUGAACAUGCAAGACUUCAAAGAGGCUAGGAGUCAGGUCUGUUGCUUACACAUGUUCACUCUGGAUUUUCUAAACCUGCACUUCUUUAUCUGGAGUCUCGCGAACCCAACAUAUCAUACAUGACCUUAGGAGUGCACGAAUAUGUUCUGUUUUUUGCUUGGUUGCUUCUUGGCAAAGAGGUCAAGAGUAAAAAAAGAAAGAUGUUUGCAGAAGAAGUUAUGAACUUUGUUGAGCCACAAGGUAUCUGGUCAAAGAAGUGUUUGUAAUAUCAAGUACCGCAUUAGAAGGAUGUUAUUUAAUUUUUCAUUAUGUUUAUUUUUCUUAUUUAAAACAAAUAACAUUGUAAUUGUUAAUUUUAACUUUUACACUUUGUCAUA